UCCUGGGCCGGCCGGUAGGUUUUCUGCAAAUUCGUGGGCUUAGUUGGGCUACCAGAAGCAGGCGUGUUUUUGCAAAUUUACCGCAUAAGUGUUCGAGCCGCACGAAUUGGAUCGGGUGGUUGACGCUGAACGGAUGCAGGGAUAUACCAAUGUGGUCAGAUUCACCUGAUACGACGCCUUUAUACAGAGACAGCAUCCAUAUUUCUCAUCAAUUUCAGCCAAAGAAUUCGACGACGAAGUAUACGAAAAUGAGCUAGCCAUUCUACGGAAGCUCAAAAACAAGAGCGAAGGACUACAGACCAACGAUAUCGACGGACAAGCUGGCCGAUCGAGCUAGAUGUGUUCUAAAAAGAAUAAAUUCAUUCAAAUUCGCAGUUUUAUCAGGAGUUGAUUUCGUCGGCCUCAACGAACAAGACAAUGCAUGAUCGACAAUUCAGACUGCUAGUACUACACACUACUGGUGCCAUGGCGGCCGUUAAUGUCAUUCCUCUUCCUUCAGCGUCGAGAUCGGUGGAUCAAUUUCCACUUGGUUUUACUCAAUGUUCCAGUUGUUUCCAGAACCGAUUCAGUUGCAUUCUGUAUUUGCUUCCUUCCGUUGGAAGAUCGAACCAUUUAUGCAUGAA